GUAUUUCCUUUUGUUCUCAAGAGGAGAUCGGGGAUGUUAGAGUCCCUCACUCAUGUUGGAAAGUGAAGUCUUCCUUCUCUUCCCUGGAGACUCAGCUUUAUGUUAGUCCUUUCCACACCUGGGCUUAAGGCCUGCUCUGUCUCACUGGCAUCUUGUUUUUGUUAAUUCGUAAGCUCUUUCUGUGAGUGGGUACAGCACCCUGACCACCUCUCUAUCUUCAACCCCUUACAACAGAGCCACUACAUUACAACCACUCCAGAAAACAUUUGCUGAAGGCCAGAAGGCAAUGCAUGUGCCUUUCUCUAAUGAUUUUGUGUCUCUUUCUAAGAAAUUUUCAAUUUUGCACGUGAUUCUUGAGUACAUCAAGUGUCAGGUUGAAACCGUCUCAAUCAACACCACAAACAAAUUAGUCUGAGGGCAACAAGCAAUGCAGCCUUGCCAUGCAUUGCCUUUUGCUGUCUUCACUAUUAAUGGAAUCAGUCUUGUUAAAGUAGAUUUGGCUCCAUGAAGUUGAGAGUUUUCCAUCUGAAAUCUGUUUCCUGGAAAUAAACCCAAAUUGUGUGACACUUCAUAUCAACUUGUAUUUCAGAUGUUGUUGCUCUAAGAUUGGCCUUUUCCUCCACCAGGAUAGGUGAAGGUGGAUGCAGGGGUUGCAGUCCUGAACUCUAGCGAUGUCUGGGAGUGAGCUGCAAUGUUGGUGAAGCCAUAUCCUGGAAGGUCGUCUUUCAGGGAAGCUGGAAAUGACACUGUGAACUGUCGGCAAAGAAGACUCAGCUGGCAGUUGCAGGCAAAAUUUGAAAAUAGCUACAGAAAGGACACCUAGUGGCUCAGUUGUUUAAGUGUCCAACUUCAGCUCAGGUCUUAAUUUCACAGUCCGUAAGUUUGAGCCCUGCGUCAGGCUCUGUGCUGACAGGCAACAAAUUGAACAAACAUGGGAACAGCUGCAGCAGGCAGAGCUCACCUUUAGAUACCAGCUCGCAGUUCAUGAGAAGAAUGCUCAGGACAACUAGGGAUGACGCCUGCACUGUUUGUUGUCUAGUAGACGACGUGAUGUUGCAACUCUUAUAGAUGUCCAUUAUUUUUCUAUAUCCAAAACUGGACGGGAUGGAAGCAAAGAGGGAUACAUUAGGCAGAAACCAAUGGCUGCAAGACCAGAGAUGUAGAACCCUCCAAGGAGAGGGUCUUUAGUAGAUCGAGAAACUGCUGAAACCUCUGUGAGUUACAGUGGCUCUGGCUGUACCAAGAAUGCAGACAAGGACAAGGGGAGUCUGGAACUUAUCCUGAGUACCUCCUCCAUUAACUGGACGAUUCUGCAUGCCCUACCCUAGAGAUGCCCUGCCCCCAUGGACUAUUAGGCACAUCCACCUCCUGAACCCUGGUGGCCCUGGGGCCACCUGGAACUCCUCCACCUGAAACACUUGGCUAUUUUGUAUGUAAGAGGGCCUGGUCCUUUCCCAGGAUUGCUUUGCAGGGUGUACCCCAUGGACCACCCUUCACCACCAGUCGUGGGCUAUAGGCCACAUCCCUCUCCUCCACCUACUCUAUUUGUUAAGAUGACCUGAACUGGAUGAAAUGCUGGACAACUCUUUUGAAAUUUGAAGAGGACAGUGCACGGUGAUAGACUAUGGUGAUUAUAUAUACAUUUUAAGAAGGUGUCAGAUCUACCUGAAUGCUUUCCCUGCCCAUCAUGUCCCCUCCACUUUGUCCUUCCUACUGUCCCAUAAUCCACCUUUCAUCGUUUUGCCUCUGUGUCAGCAUCUGCUUCUAGGGCCAUCUACUCUCACUCCUCCUCGAGUGCACACAGUGGGGUCCCUGUACACACAGGAAAUGACUGAGUUCUAAUGGUGGAGAAGGAUGAGGGACCAGCAGUGACUGUCGAGAGGAAUGAGGGUCAGACCAACGCCCAGGAUGCCAGGUCUCCACAGACAGCACCACGUGUAGGAGGACUCUGAGGAGCAGAGAUUUCUUGAUCAGACCCAUGAACUACAUAAUCCUCUUGCAGUUUCCUCACUGAGCGAUGGCCAAAGCAGAGGCCAGCAGCUGGAGGACACCCUGAUCAUGGCUGGAGUGGAGCAGUGGGCCUGGGGAUUGAGUCAGGGAAAGGGACAGGAGGAAGGUAGCGACAGGGAGUUUGAGAGACAAAGGGAACAGAAGAGAAGGGACGCUUCUCUGCUGACUUCACCUACAAUUCUGUGUGACCAAAACGAGACCCUUGUCUCCCAGGGAAGGGAAGAGGGCUGGCAAAAAGACAGAGUGACAUACUCAGCUCAAGUGCCUGGGAUAUCUGCCUUGCUCUUGAGUACAUAACACAGGAGGCACGUGCUUUCUGUCAUGACUGGAACUGCAACUCGACCAUUUAGUGAAAAUCAAUCCAAUUAUGCAUCCCUCCGCAUUAAAGUAAUGCAACAAAAUUAAGUGAACAGACUGAAAGAUACAACACAGGAUAAAGUCCAAAGGUAUACUGACUGCAAUACUUAUGGGAAUACAGUCUAUCAGAAGAGGAGGUAGGUACCCUAGUGCAGGCCUUCAGACACCUGGGCAAUAUCUGAAAAUGU